rnacentral:rRNA from 1 species
ACGCUCGACACCUACGGGAGACAGCAGUGGGGAAUAUUGCACAAUGGGGGAAACCCUGAUGCAGCGACGCCGCGUGAGCGAAGAAGUAUUUCGGUAUGUAAAGCUCUAUCAGCAGGGAAGAAACUGACGGUACCUGACUAAGAAGCACCGGCUAAAUACGUGCUAGCAGCCGCGGUAAUCUGAGCGGGCUGGCAAGGC